rnacentral:rRNA from 1 species
AGUGAACGCUGGCGGUAGGCCUAACACAUGCAAGUCGAACGGCAGCACAGUAAGAGCUUGCUCUUACGGGUGGCGAGUGGCGGACGGGUGAGGAAUACAUCGGAAUCUACUUUUUCGUGGGGGAUAACGUAGGGAAACUUACGCUAAUACCGCAUACGACCUACGGGUGAAAGCAGUGGAUCUUCGCACCUUGCGCGAUUGAAUGAGCCGAUGUCGGAUUAGCUAGUUGGCGGGGUAAAGGCCCACCAAGGCGACGAUCCGUAGCUGGUCUGAGAGGAUGAUCAGCCACACUGGAACUGGGACACGGUCCAGACUCCUACGGGAGGCAGCAGUGGGGAAUAUUGGACAAUGGGCGCAAGCCUGAUCCAGCCAUACCGCGUGGGUGAAGAAGGCCUUCGGGUUGUAAAGCCCUUUUGUUGGGAAAGAAAAGCAGCAGGUUAAUACCCCGCUGUUCUGACGGUACCCAAAGAAUAAGCACCGGCUAACUUCGUG